GUUGGGUAGGGGAGCGUUCUGUAAGCCUGUGAAGGUGGCCUGUGAGGGUUGCUGGAGGUAUCAGAAGUGCGAAUGCUGACAUAAGUAACGAUAAAGCGGGUGAAAAGCCCGCUCGCCGGAAGACCAAGGGUUCCUGUCCAACGUUAAUCGGGGCAGGGUGAGUCGACCCCUAAGGCGAGGCCGAAAGGCGUAGUCGAUGGGAAACGGGUUAAUAUUCCCGUACUUGGUGUUACUGCGAAGGGGGGACGGAGAAGGCUAUGUUGGCCGGGCGACGGUUGUCCCGGUUUAAGCGUGUAGGUGUGUGUUCCAGGUAAAUCCGGUUCACUUUAACACUGAGGCGUGACGACGAGGCACUACGGUGCUGAAGCAACAAAUGCCCUGCUUCCAGGAAAAGCCUCUAAGCAUCAGGUAACAUCAAAUCGUACCCCAAACCGACACAGGUGGUCAGGUAGAGAAUACCAAGGCGCUUGAGAGAACUCGGGUGAAGGAACUAGGCAAAAUGGUGCCGUAACUUCGGGAGAAGGCACGCUGACACGUAGGUGAAGUGAUUUACUCACGGAGCUGAAGUCAGUCGAAGAUACCAGCUGGCUGCAACUGUUUAUUAAAAACACAGCACUGUGCAAACACGAAAGUGGACGUAUACGGUGUGACGCCUGCCCGGUGCCGGAAGGUUAAUUGAUGGGGUCAGCGCAAGCGAAGCUCCUGAUCGAAGCCCCGGUAAACGGCGGCCGUAACUAUAACGGUCCUAAGGUAGCGAAAUUCCUUGUCGGGUAAGUUCCGACCUGCACGAAUGGCGUAAUGAUGGCCAGGCUGUCUCCACCCGAGACUCAGUGAAAUUGAACUCGCUGUGAAGAUGCAGUGUACCCGCGGCAAGACGGAAAGACCCCGUGAACCUUUACUAUAGCUUGACACUGAACAUUGAGCCUUGAUGUGUAGGAUAGGUGGGAGGCUUUGAAGUGUGGACGCCAGUCUGCAUGGAGCCGACCUUGAAAUACCACCCUUUAAUGUUUGAUGUUCUAACGUGGACCCGUAAUCCGGGUUGCGGACAGUGUCUGGUGGGUAGUUUGACUGGGGCGGUCUCCUCCUAAAGAGUAACGGAGGAGCACGAAGGUUGGCUAAUCCUGGUCGGACAUCAGGAGGUUAGUGCAAUGGCAUAAGCCAGCUUGACUGCGAGCGUGACGGCGCGAGCAGGUGCGAAAGCAGGUCAUAGUGAUCCGGUGGUUCUGAAUGGAAGGGCCAUCGCUCAACGGAUAAAAGGUACUCCGGGGAUAACAGGCUGAUACCGCCCAAGAGUUCAUAUCGACGGCGGUGUUUGGCACCUCGAUGUCGGCUCAUCACAUCCUGGGGCUGAAGUAGGUCCCAAGGGUAUGGCUGUUCGCCAUUUAAAGUGGUACGCGAGCUGGGUUUAGAACGUCGUGAGACAGUUCGGUCCCUAUCUGCCGUGGGCGCUGGAGAACUGAGGGGGGCUGCUCCUAGUACGAGAGGACCGGAGUGGACGCAUCACUGGUGUUCGGGUUGUCAUGCCAAUGGCACUGCCCGGUAGCUAAAUGCGGAAGAGAUAAGUGCUGAAAGCAUCUAAGCACGAAACUUGCCCCGAGAUGAGUUCUCCCUGAGACUU
rnacentral:rRNA from 1 species